CCCUUCGGGGUGUGACUGCGUACCUUUUGUAUAAUGGGUCAGCGACUUAUAUUCUGUAGCAAGGUUAACCGUAUAGGGGAGCCGGAGGGAAACCGAGUCUUAACCGGGCGUUAAGUUGCAGGGUAUAGACCCGAAACCCGGUGAUCUAGCCAUGGGCAGGUUGAAGGUUGGGUAACACUAACUGGAGGACCGAACCGACUAAUGUUGAAAAAUUAGCGGAUGACCUGUGGCUGGGGGUGAAAGGCCAAUCAAACCGGGAGAUAGCUGGUUCUCCCCGAAAGCUAUUUAGGUAGCGCCUCGUGAAUUCAUCUCCGGGGGUAGAGCACUGUUUCGGCUAGGGGGCCAUCCCGGCUUACCAACCCGAUGCAAACUGCGAAUACCGGAGAAUGUUAUCACGGGAGACACACGGCGGGUGCUAACGUCCGUCGUGAAGAGGGAAACAACCCAGACCGCCAGCUAAGGUCCCAAAGUCAUGGUUAAGUGGGAAACGAUGUGGGAAGGCCCAGACAGCCAGGAUGUUGGCUUAGAAGCAGCCAUCAUUUAAAGAAAGCGUAAUAGCUCACUGGUCGAGUCGGCCUGCGCGGAAGAUGUAACGGGGCUAAACCAUGCACCGAAGCUGCGGCAGCGACGCUGAUGCGUUGUUGGGUAGGGGAGCGUUCUGUAAGCCUGCGAAGGUGACCUGUGAGGG
rnacentral:rRNA from 1 species